UACGUAGGGGGCAAGCGUUGUCCGGAAUCAUUGGGCGUAAAGAGCGUGUAGGCGGUUCGGUAAGUCGGCUGUGAAAGUCCAGGGCUCAACCCUGGGAUGCCGGUCGAUACUGCCGGACUAGAGUUCGGAAGAGGCGAGUGGAAUUCCCGGUGUAGCGGUGAAAUGCGCAGAUAUCGGGAGGAACACCAAUAGCGAAGGCAGCUCGCUGGGACGGUACUGACGCUGAGGCGCGAAAGCUAGGGUAGCAAACGGG
rnacentral:rRNA from 1 species